CCUACGGGCGGCAGCAGUGAGGAAUAUUGGUCAAUGGACGGAAGUCUGAACCAGCCAUGCCGCGUGCAGGAAGACGGCUCUAUGAGUUGUAAACUGCUUUUGUACGAGGGUAAACCUGAAUACGUGUAUACAGCUCAAAGUACUGUCCGAAUAAGGCUCGGCUAACUCCGUGCCAGCAGCCGCGGUAUUACGGAGGAUCCAAGCGUUAUCCGGAUUUAUUGGGUUUAAAGGGUGCGUAGGCGGAUUGAUAAGUUAGAGGUGAAAUGUCCGAGCUUAACUCGGGAACUGCCUUUAAUACUGGUGAGCUAGAGAGUAGAUGCGGUAGGCGGAAUGUAUGGUGUAGCGGUGAAAUGCUUAGAGAUCAUACAGAACACCGAUUGCGAAGGCAGCUUACCAAUCUAUAUCUGACGCUGAGGCACGAAAGCGUGGGGAGCAAACAGGAUUAGAUACCCGAGUAGUC
rnacentral:rRNA from 1 species